UAAUACGAAGGGGGCUAGCGUUGUUCGGAUUUACUGGGCGUAAAGCGCACGUAGGCGGACAUUUAAGUCAGGGGUGAAAUCCCGGGGCUCAACCCCGGAACUGCCUUUGAUACUGGAUGUCUCGAGUCCGGAAGAGGUGAGUGGAAUUCCGAGUGUAGAGGUGAAAUUCGUAGAUAUUCGGAGGAACACCAGUGGCGAAGGCGGCUCACUGGUCCGGUACUGACGCUGAGGUGCGAAAGCGUGGGGAGCAAACAGG
rnacentral:rRNA from 1 species